AAGUGUUUGCUUUGAGGUUGGCUCUCAUUUCCCUCUCCUCCGUCUCUAUUAAAGUCGUUCCUCAUCUGUUGGUGAGCAACAGGGGGAAGCAGACGUGGAAAAAAACAAAUUGAAAUGCUGUUUUCCAAAGUUUGAACUCGAGCUUGUCUUUCCAGCUCUGUACACAACCUCUAAAUUGAACUUUCCGAUGCAAAAUAAGAUACAAAGAAUGAGGUCGAGCUCUUUCCUGUAUUAACCAAAAUUGUAUAAAGCUGCGGUGAGGUCAGAGCUGAAGUUUCAGUAAACCAGGACAAGGUGAGGGGACUUAACAAAGAGCCGGCUGAGCGAGGACAACAUACCAUACAUGGACACGGAAUGAUAUACAAGGGUGGAAAGAAUGGAAUGCAAACUUCCCAAGAUACAGUAAAGAGCAGGACAGAACUGGGACUGUGCAUUUAUAUGAACAACUCCUGGUGCAUGGACGUCACAGUGGUGGAUAAAGAGUGCAGUCCAGAUGCGGAAAUCAUGCUGCUAAAGUGCCGGCCAUUUUAUCUCCCGAGGGAGUUCACUGCUGUUUAUAUCUGUGCUGUGUAUAUUCCACCGGACGCUAAUGCCAAGCUAGCGCUAGCACAGGUCUAUGCAGUGUAUGAAUGCUCUGAACGAAAAUUUCAU